GUGAACGAGCGACGCCGCGUGGAGGAUGAAGGCCUUCGGGUUGUAAACUCCUGUCGAGGGGGAGGAAGGGGAAACCUUGACCGAUCCCUGGAGGAAGCACGGGCUAAGUUCGUGCCAGCAGCCGCGGUAAGACGAACCGUGCGAACGUUAUUCGGAAUCACUGGGCUUAAAGCGCGUGUAGGCGGGCGGGUACGUCGGCGACUGAAAGCCCCCGGCUCAACCGGGGAAGUGGUGCCGAAACGGCCGGCCUGGAGGGGCGUAGGGGGACCUGGAACUUCCGGUGGAGCGGUGAAAUGCGUUGAGAUCGGAAGGAACGCCCGUGGCGAAAGCGAGGUCCUGGACGCCAUCUGACGCUGAGACGCGAAAGCCAGGGGAGCGAACGGGAUUAGAUACCCCGGUAGUCCUGGCCGUAAACGAU
rnacentral:rRNA from 1 species